rnacentral:rRNA from 1 species
AGUGAACGCUGGCGGUAGGCCUAACACAUGCAAGUCGAACGAGUGGCGGACGGGUGAGUAAUACAUCGGAAUCUACCCUAUGGUGGGGGAUAACGUCGGGAAACUUUCGCUAAUACCGCAUACCAUCGGAUGUGCCCAGAUGGGAUUAGCUUGUAGGUGGGGUAACGGCUCACCUAGGCGACGAUCCCUAGCUGGUCUGAGAGGAUGACCAGCCACACUGGAACUGAGACACGGUCCAGACUCCUACGGGAGGCAGCAGUGGGGAAUAUUGCACAAUGGGCGCAAGCCUGAUGCAGCCAUGCAGCGUGUAUGAAGAAGGCCUUCGGGUUGUAAAGUACUUUCAGCGGGGAGGCGUUACCCGCAGAAGAAGCACCGGCUAACUCCGUGCCAGCCGCCGCGGUAAUUC